CUUUUAUUGACCUUCUCACCUACAGUGCUUGCUAUGGAACAGCACCCAGAAGCAGGGUUGGGAAGUGCUAUGGAUGAGCCUGCUGUUUACUCAUCAUCUGAUGCUAUGCGUUGUCCUCCCAAGCUACCAGGAGAGCCUCUUAAUGGUGUGCCAGGGAGAAGAAGGGGAGUUACUGCAUUCAUUCAUGGGGUGUCAGAGCCCUCUCUCCCAGCCCUGCUGGGGCAGCAGCCUGGUGAGCAAUGCCUCUGUUCAUCUCCAUCCUUGUGGCACAGUAAGGGAGAGGAUUUCAUCCCUGCUGUCACCUCAGCACCAUCCACCCCUGCCUGAGGCUUGGAAAUUAAAAUAAUAAACAAAGCAACUAGAGCUGUGUGCAGAGGCUAAUGUACCAUAAUGCUCCAAAACCCAGGCAGCCACCACCUCAUGCUGAGCAGAAAGGACGUUUGAAGAAUGCAUCUUCCUCUGGCAGCGAUUAUUUCAACAUUACUUUUAUUUUUUUUGCCACUUCAAAUAAUGCAUUCAGUUGUCCCCAGCUCAUCAUUUUCUUAUAGAGAAGAGUAGAGGGCAGUGGGGGAUGGCAGAACAAUUCCACUUCCUAAUGCAGUCAAUGGGAUUUAAAGCCUGGAUACCUCUCAGGGCCCGAUCUUUGCAGUAUGGAUGGGGUGGCUGUGCUGGAACUGGGGACACAGCAGCAUCUGAGCACUGGUAUUUUGUCAUGGCUCAAUUCUCCAGCAGAGCUAUUCCAUUUCCACUUCAGGAAAACAAACCCAAAAGUGCACAGCCAGAACCACUGGCUUUGUUGAAAGAGCAAAAUCCACUUAGAGAUCCCACUUUUCCAACUCACGAACUACUGUGGUUAUAAAAGUGAAGCCUUGCACACAAUGGCUCCGUUGUGGAGAAAAAGUUUUUCCUUCAAGAGGGCCAGGUCUCCAAGACAUGCAGGAUAUGGUUAGAGACUCUUCUUAAUGAAAUCACUCUUAAAAGGCAGGAAGGCCUCUGAGAAAUCUUCAUUUUGAGCAACUCAGAGAUGAGGUCCAGGUUGUAUGUCUGGCUCAGAGGAAAGAAAAGGGGAUGGAAACAGCGUGAGUCUCAUUUUGAGGAUGGAAAAUAAAGGAGGGAAGAGGAUGAAUGGGUCAUCUGCUGUCUGGUGGAGGUGGGUUCCUGCCCAUCUGCAUGGCUGGGUGAAUUGCCACCUGAUGACUCCAAAUGGAACCCAUAACCCAACCCCAGUGGGAGCAGCUUUCGGCUGGACCUUGACAUCCCCUGGCCAGCUCCCUGCUGUGAGCGCACUGCAUGCUGGAAUCUCCACAGGGAAACAAGAGCAUAGGACUCCAUCAUGCCCAUUGAACCAGACAAAAUCAUCAGCAACAACAUCAGGGGAAAUAAAAUCAAACGGAUGGUAAUGCUCCAAAAGGACAAGCAGUCCUCCUUCUUUACCUCUUUCCUUUGGACAGCAUGCAGUGAAGGCACUGGGGAGGAAGGUUGAUGGGGAGUUAUCUGUGGCAACACGAAUGUUGUAAUUCCAGAGGCACGGCGCAUCUGCACAGAUGGGAAAAUUACCAUUGUGGUACUUGGGUGGUAUGACAAGUAACUUUUCUUUGGCACCCCGAAAAACAGCUCAACUGUGGGAGGAAUGUGUCAGUUGCAAUUUUGUAACUUAAUGAAAUAAAUCAACCAGAUCGAAAGAGGAGCUGGAGAUGUUCCCACACAGCCUCGUGGGAACGCAAAGGCCACAUGAAGGCAGCUGCUGGCAAGACGGGAGCUCAUCUGGAGAACUCUGGGGCCACCCUUGGGGCGAUGACAACAAAUUCCCCAAGUGAGGAAGCUGCUUUGAACUUUCUCCAGCCUUUGUGGAUGAGAUUUCAGGAACACAUGGCUGCUGGGUUCCAAAAGGGCCCCUUCUCACUCAGCUCAGCAGUAGUCCUGGCGGGGAUUCUGCUUCUCCCAGCCUGCUGGGGGUCUGCCUGAAGACAUCACAAAGGGCUGACAGCAGAUGCAUGUCUUCACCUCACCAAGACCAGAGGAUGUUGCUGGUGCUCCCAUGAGCCCAAACAGGCAGAGCAGCAAAGAGGGAAUCAUAGAAUAUCCUGAGCUGGAAGAGACCCAUAAGGAUCAAUGAGUUCAACUCAGUGGAGUAAUGCUUGGCAAACCCCACACUGCUCCUCAUAAGUCCAGUGAGAAAUGAGCAGUGAGUAAACCAGGAGCAUCUUCUCAUGGCAGGAGCCCACAAAGGCUCAUUCUUUGGCUGUGGAUAUGUAUCAUUGCUUGCCCAAAAUAACCACCGAAGGCCCACAGUACAAGGUUCUCUAGAGCUUUGCAGCAAGAAAUUGAUUUCCAUAGUCGCCCUCAUUAAUUUUCAUGGCACCCACAGUGUGUUUUUAGAACAAGCAGAAUUAUUAAUGUUCAAAGUUACUUGAGCACUGUUGGGAACACAAGGCCCCCAAAGAUGGGCUGGGGGAAGGGAAAGACAAUAUGUGGAUCCAUUCUUUAGACUGAGAUCAUCCAGUCCAACAUCAACCCAUCCCCACCAUGCCCACUAACCAUGCAUCUCAAUGCCUCAGCUACCCUUUCCUUGAGCACCUCUGGGGCUGGUGACUCCCCCACCUCCUUGGGCAGCCUGUCCCAGUGCAUCACCACUCUUUCUGAGAAGAAAUAUUUUGUAAUAUCCAACCUGAUUCUCCCCCAGCACAACUUAAGGCUUUUACCCCUUGUCCUAUCAAUCCAGGUGCAGCCCUAUGUAGCCAAGGAACUUGGCUGUGCAAGGGAUGCUGCUCUGCAUUGCAUUGCCUGCAGUCUGUCCCGUUGGAACAGGAGGAAAUAAGCCCCAUUUGUUAACAUGCCAAUCGUGCUUUACACCGGCUGAUUAAAAAAUAAUUACCCACAGCCAUUAUUGAGCACUCUUGCAAAUGAGCUGUGGGAAGCUGUGACCGCGCACUUAGCACACAGUGUGUUUUGCUUGUUUCAAUAUUAUUUUAAUUAAGUAUCGGGGUAAAAGGCCUUUUUAGUGUAACUUUCUUUUCAUGAGCAGGACUGAGUGGGUGGCUCCAGCUUGUGGCUGGUACAGUGCCUGGAUCCUGUUCUUAUCCAAAUCCAAGCAAAUGAGAGACCCAGGAGGGGAGGAGAGCUAAGCUGCACCCAGGGACACGACCACCGUCCUUGCUUUAGAGGGUUUGCCCAUUCAUGUGUGCCUUCACCCUCCCAGGUAGCUUUUAAUCUGCAGUUCUGGCUUCAAUUAUCUCAUGUUUGCAAGAGAAUUAACUCAGCAAACACAUUUCCGAUCCUCAGCUGAUGGAGAACCACCAUUGCUGCGGAGAAAUUGAAUUACCGCACAGAUUAAAACAGCACGUAGCAGCCCCAGAGGUUCCUCUUCUUCUCUCCAGUCUCCUCCUCAUCGCUCAAAAUCCCCUCUCCAGCUAUUUUUAGGGGGAUAGGGAUGCCCUGCAAGGAUGUGUCCUGGAGGGAUGAGACGUGGGGAUGCAGGCAGUUGUAAUGGGGUAGCAUAACGCUGAUGCUCCUGAAAGC
ensembl:lncRNA